GCGGGUGUAGCUCAAUGGUAGAGCAAUAGCCUUCCAAGCUGAAGACGGGGGUUCGAUUCCCCUCACCCGCUCCA
rnacentral:tRNA from 1 species